CAUCAGAUGACUGAAAGUAAGUAAUGGUCUCUUAAACCAAUUUAUAGUAUAAUAACAAAUACUUCUGAUGA
rnacentral:tRNA from 1 species